AUGAUGAUCUCUCCAAACAGGCAGAAGCUUAUCGCUAAAUGUUCCUUCUAUUUGCAUUCACGCCUUUUAGGAAGAGCCACUAAAUUAAAUUCACUUUUGGGCGAAGAAAGUAUGACUGCUUUACCAAUAGUUGAGACUCAAUCUGGAGACGUUUCUGCCUAUAUUCCUACUAAUGUAAUCUCCAUUACAGAUGGACAAAUAUUCUUAUCUGCGGAUCUAUUCAAUGUCAGAAUUCGACCCGCUAUUAAUGUGGGUCUUUCUGUUUCCAGAGUAGGAUCUGCGGCUCAAAUUAAAGCCAUGAAACAAGUAGCUGGCAAAUCAAAAUAG
rnacentral:rRNA from 1 species